ensembl:miRNA
GGAAGGUUCUCCAAGGAAGACUGUGUUGCAGUGGCCAAAAAGUUCGUUUGGGGUUUCUCC